UACGUAGGGUGCAAGCGUUACUCGGAAUUACUGGGCGUAAAGCGUGCGCAGGCGGCUUUGCAAGACAGAUGUGAAAUCCCCGGGCUCAACCUGGGAACUGCAUUUGUGACUGCAAAGCUAGAGUACGGCAGAGGAGGAUGGAAUUCCGCGUGUAGCAGUGAAAUGCGUAGAUAUGCGGAGGAACACCGAUGGCGAAGGCAAUCCCCUGGGCCUGUACUGACGCUCAUGCACGAAAGCGUGGGGAGCAAACAGG
rnacentral:rRNA from 1 species